AAUUCUCGACAAUGGGGGAAACCCUGAACGAGCCAUCGCGCGUGUAUGAUAAAGGCCUUCCGGUUGUAAAGUACUUUUGGAUGAGCAGAAAAGGUAUCCCCGAAUACGGGAUACUCCUGACGGUAUCUGCGGAAUCAGCACCGGCUAACUACGUUCCAACAGCCGCCGUAAUACGUAGGGUGCAAGCGUUAAUCGGAAUUACUGGGCGUAAAGCGUGUGUAGGCGGUUCGGAAAGAAAGAUGUGAGAUCCCAGGGCUCAACCUUGGAACUGCAUUUUUAACUGCCGAGCUAGAGUAUGUCAGAGGGGGGUAGAAUUCCACGUGUAGCAGUGAAAUGCGUAGAUAUGUGGAGGAAUACCGAUGGCGAAGGCAGCCCCCUGGGAUAAUACUGACGCUCAGACACGAAAGCGUGGGGAGCAAACAGG
rnacentral:rRNA from 1 species